rnacentral:snRNA from 1 species
GGCAGGUUCAAACACAGCCCUGGUCAAAAACUGCCAAAAAAAAAAGAGAGAAGAUUAGUAUGGUCCCUAGCAAGGAUGAUAUGCUAAUUUGUGAAGCACUCCAUAUUUUU